rnacentral:rRNA from 1 species
UACGGAGGGUGCGAGCGUUGUUCGGAAUCACUGGGCGUAAAGCGCGUGUAGGCGGCCUUCUCAGUCUGGUGUGAAAGCCCGGGGCUCACCCCCGGAAGUGCAUUGGAUACUGGAAGGCUGGAGUACCGGAGAGGAGGGUGGAAUUCCUGGUGUAGCGGUGAAAUGCGUAGAUAUCAGGAGGAACACCGGUGGCGAAGGCGGCCCUCUGGACGGAUACUGACGCUGAGACGCGACAGCGUGGGGGAGCAAACAGG